UACGUGAGGGGGCGAGCGUUUGUCCGGAUUUAUUGGGCGUAAAGAGCUUGUAGGCGGUUUGUCGCGUCUGCUGUGAAAUUUCGGGGCUCAACCCCGAACUUGCAGUGGGUACGGGCAGACUAGAGGUAUGCAGGGGAGAACGGAAUUCCUGGUGUAGCGAUGGAAUGCGCAGAUAUCAGGAGGAACACCGGUGGCGAAGGCGGGUCUCUGGGCCGAUACUGACGCUGAGGAGCGAAAGCGUGGGGAGCGAACAGG
rnacentral:rRNA from 1 species